AGUACCCUCACUCAGUAUCUCUUCCUUUUUCUUAGAAAUGGUUGAGAAAAAGGCAAAGGGAGCCCACCUGGGGAUAAACAACUGAAGAUAACUGACAUAGCUUUUGGAAUGCAACAUAGCAAGAUAGGCUCACAAUACAUUUUAAGA
ensembl:lncRNA